rnacentral:rRNA from 1 species
UACGAAGGGGGCUAGCGUUGUUCGGAAUCACUGGGCGUAAAGCGCACGUAGGCGGACAUUUAAGUCAGGGGUGAAAUCCCAGGGCUCAACCCUGGAACUGCCUUUGAUACUGGAUGUCUCGAGUCCGGGAGAGGUGAGUGGAACUGCGAGUGUAGAGGUGAAAUUCGUAGAUAUUCGCAAGAACACCAGUGGCGAAGGCGGCUCACUGGCCCGGAACUGACGCUGAGGUG